UACGUAGGGGGCAAGCGUUAUCCGGAUUUACUGGGUGUAAAGGGAGCGUAGACGGUGAUGUAAGUCAGAUGUGAAAGCCCAGGGCUCAACCCUGGGACUGCAUUUGAAACUAUGUCACUAGAGUGCAGGAGAGGUAAGUGGAAUUCCUAGUGUAGCGGUGAAAUGCGUAGAUAUUAGGAGGAACACCAGUGGCGAAGGCGGCUUACUGGACUGUAACUGACGUUGAGGCUCGAAAGCGUGGGGAGCAAACAGG
rnacentral:rRNA from 1 species